rnacentral:rRNA from 1 species
GACGAACGCUGGCGGCGUGCUUAACACAUGCAAGUCGAACGAUGAAGCUGGAGCUUGCUCCGGUGGAUUAGUGGUGAACGGGUGAGUAACACGUGAGCAAUCUGCCCUUGACUCUGGGAUAACUGCGGGAAACUGUAGCUAAUACCGGAUACUUUCACUGGAAGGCAUCUUCUGGUGAAGAAAGAAUUUCGGUCAAGGAUGAGCUCGCGGCCUAUCAGCUUGUUGGUGAGGUAACGGCUCACCAAGGCGACGACGGGUAGCCGGCCUGAGAGGGUGACCGGCCACACUGGGACUGAGACACGGCCCAGACUCCUACGGGAGGCAGCAGUGGGGAAUAUUGCACGAUGGGCGCAAGCCUGAUGCAGCAACGCCGCGUGAGGGAUGAAGGCCUUCGGGUUGUAAACCUCUUUUAGCAGGGAAGAAGCGAAAGUGACGGUACCUGCAGAAAAAGCACCGGCUAACUACGUGCCAGCAGCCGCCGCGG